GACGGAGGAUGCAAGCGUUAUCCGGAAUGAUUGGGCGUAAAGCGUCCGCAGGUGGCAGUUCAAGUCUGCUGUCAAAGACCGGGGCUUAACUUCGGGAAGGCAGUGGAAACUGAACAGCUAGAGUAUGGUAGGGGCAGAGGGAAUUCCUGGUGUAGCGGUGAAAUGCGUAGAGAUCAUGAGGAAGACCAGUGGCGAAGGCGGGUCUCUGGACAGUUCCUGACACUGAGGCACGAAGGCCAGGGGAGCAAACGGG
rnacentral:rRNA from 1 species